CUGUUUCAUAGUGCCUCCAACAUUACCUCCAAGAUGGAUUGAUUUGUUUCCACUGUUGUAGAAUGGACAGUCCUGGGGAGAGCUACCCUUUUAUGCUGGUCUAUAAAAAAAAAACCUCCAGAAACCUCCUGUGAUACUUUUAUGAUCCUCAGUUAACAGUCUAGCCCUGCCUACAACUCAGAAAAAUGUGGGGAAGCUGGAAUGCAAAGGAGAGAGGGUUUGGCUGAGCUCCUCCUGGAUAAUCAGGAGAUGAUGACUAUAAAGAAUGCAGAAUGCAUAUUAGAUGAUGCAAAGCAGAGGAAGCAGAAAAAGGAAAACCAGAUGCACAGAAUGAAAAUGAAAGAACAACUCCAGUGGAAACAGAAUGCUGUGAUAUUCUGAUCACAGAAAGAUGACCAUUUAGUCACUGGAGCAGGCUUUGGGAGCUGAGGAAGAUCUGGGGGCUGAGAAGGUAGGGAACUAGCAAAUGGCCACCCAGGAUGGAACCAGGGUCAUGCCCUUCUCCCUGCCUUAGACCACCCAGCUUUGUUUGACUGUUUAUCUCUGUUGCAGGCCUUUGGGAGAAGGGGAGAGUCUAGGAAGAAGAAAUUCCAAGUAAAGGUUUCAGAGGCAAAUUUAAGUUGGAUGUCAGGAAACACUUCCUAAUAAUCAGAGGAGGACUUGGGAACUGUAAGGAAUAUUUUCUUUUUGAUUACUAUUUCAAGUAUUACUAUUGCAAUAAUUGGUGUCCUUCAUAAUCUUAUGCAUUUUACUUUAUGCAUUAAAAAAUACAGCAUUCUGAGAAGAGGUCCAUGGUUUCAUUAGACUCCCAAAGGAGUCCAUGACACAGAAAAGGUUAAAAACCCU
rnacentral:lncRNA from 1 species